rnacentral:lncRNA from 1 species
CGAAAGCUAAACUAUCUGGAAUACUCACUAUGAGGAUACUGCUACAGUAUAAAAUAAUACAACGGCCCCUAUGGCUAAAUCAGGUAGUUUAAAUAUAUGACGAUCAUAAUCGCGAGUUUUCUCCUAAGUCUUAUCCAAGUCCAACAUGUAUAUAUAUAUAUAUAUAUAUAUCCAAAGAUAAUAACUCAGCUCCAAUUCAGAUUAUUAACCAUACUAAAUCAAUAAACCGAGCAAUUGCGCCACACAAGAUAAUUCCACAAUUACAUGUCGACUAUAUAGGCACUUAGGAGUAAACCGAUGAUUAACCCACCUUAAUCGCAAAUCCCCGACGGUGAAGAAGGUCACCGGAGUCCCUGUCAAGCUCGGCGCAGCUCCCCGAACCAGCGACAACACGCUCCAUGGGUCUAAACAUAGAAACCCAUAUUAAGCAUCAAUUCUGCCCAAAACAGCAGCAGCAGAAAGAAAUAGGGAUACGACCUAACAAACCUUCACCAAAUCCAGCAAAUAAGGGCUUCGUGGAUUCCUCUCGAAGUCCCGAAUCCAACGAACCAAGUCCCGUCGAAAUCCGACAUUCCUACGUCGAGUACGAGCCGAAACACUAACGGUCAACGCUGAAAAUCAGUAAAAUCAGCACGCGAGCUCAAAACCGUGCGUUCAAGUAAUCCAAGAAGGAAAGUUAGGUACCCACAUCGACAGCGAAUCCAGCGCCGGUGCGACGUCGAGGACGGCGAAAAUGCACCCUCGCCCAGCCUCCAUGCGACGUUACGGCGACAAACGUGCGCUCAAACGGCUCGGCGAUGCGACGUCGGCAACGAACGCUCCACCCAAGUUCCUCCUCCUCGCGUAUGGCUCCAGAGACAGAGAGGGAGGAAAUUUUAAUUAAGGAGGCAUGUACAACCCCCUAAUUAGAUAAGCAUGAAAUACAUGCAUGGGGGCACGUGGCAUUAUAUAUAUAUAUAUAUAUAUAUAAGGAUACUACAGGCUGUGCCGUGUAGAGUCGGAUGCAAUCAACCAUCCGGCCCAGCACAGCCCCUAGGCCUGGGAAGUCCAAGCCGGUUCGGGCAGGGCCGGGCUUCGAGUCGGCCCCUUAAAAUUUUUAUUUUUUAUUUUUUAGAAAAAUAUUAAAAUUUUAAACUAUGAUCAAUUAAGUAUAUAUAUUCAAAUCUAUAUUUUGAUUGAAAAGUUUCAAAUUUAUAAAUAUUUUAAUUAUUAUUUUAAAUAUAAAUUAAGUGGGCUUUUGGUCCAUCUGUAACAUACCGAACUCCUGCAAUUAUGAAGUUUCGGUGGGAACUAGUUUGAAAAGGUAUUGAGAUAGUUCCGAUGAAGUUCGGAGAGCAUUCAAGUAUUUUCGGUGCGAGUUGGGCACAAAAACGGAACUCAAAAAGUUAUAUUGGACUUGGCCUGAAUCCGACAAAGUACAAGUGAGAAGAUGAUUUAAACAUGCUCAAAAAAUGUGUUUUGAGGGUUUUGGAAUGUUUGGAAAUGGAUUAGAGGCUCGAGGAGCGAAAAUGAGCAUUUUCGAAAAAUACUGAAAUUUUGGGGCUGUUGGACCUAUGGGGUCCGGACCCUAGAGCCAAGGUUAGGACCCCGCACGCGUGGGUAGCUCAGAAUGAGGGCAUUUUGGUAAAUUGAAGGCAUGGGCUUAUAAAGGAGAACCCUUCCUUCUCAUUCUUCCUUAGCCAACACAAAACACACACACACUUGAGAGAGAGAGAGAGAACCUCUCUUUUCUCUCUCUAGCUUCCUCUCUUUCCCUCUCUAAAUCUCUCUCCCAAACUUGGGUUUUGGUGGAGAGCGAGCUCGGGAACGCGUGGGGAGUGAUGGAUCGAGCCCUCAAGCGCUAGGUGGUGCGGCGUGCCUUCGACUCGAGGUUCGCAUUUUGUUAAGAGUUGAGGAUUUUGGUUAAAUCAUUUUUGAAUGGUAUUCUAGAGAUCUCUAGAUUAUUCUAGGCAUGUUGCUCCAUAAAUUUUGGGAUAUUUGGAGAAAUGGGAAAAGCUAGGGUUUGGAAAUUAGGGGUUUUGGGGUUUAUGGGUUUUGAAUCUAAUUGAUCUCCUAAUUAUCAAAUUGAAGGUUAGAGGAGAGCCCCAAACAACUCUAGGUUGGAAAUUGGUGAGCGCUCGGUAAUCGAUUGCGAGUUUGAGCCGAACCGAGCAAUUUAUGCUGCGGGAGCGCGAUUGCAAGUGUCGACAAGCAAUCGAAAAGUAUUGUUAGGUGGGUUGUGUUUCACCGAAGUGAUUAGGUCACUUCCAUGCCAAAGAGUGAAGUAUGGUUGUAUUAUUGAUGCAUGUAAUGGUAGUUUAAAUGCAAUGGUGAAUGCAUGAGAUAGAUGCUAUGUAUUGACUACCAUUGAAUGAUGAGAACAUAGGCAUGUGGACAUAUAGGAUAUGUAUAUAUGAAUGCCUAGAUGUGGAUAGUAAAUAUAGGUCGAUGAACUCUAGGAAAAGUAGAGAACUCGACAAGUGUGGCAUGUAAACUAUGGAUCCUAAGUGUGGACAAAUAGGAAAACAAAUAGCAUGAGUGGCAUCAAACCUAAUGUCAUUGAAUAUAGGUGGAGCAUUGAACCUAGAGGCAAGUAAAUCUAGGUGGAAAUGACAUAGAGCCUAUCGUGGUUGUACCUAGGUUAUGAGAUGUAGUGGCAUUGAACCUAGUGUGGUUAAACCUAGGUUGUGGACUAUAGUGGUAGAGUGGCCACUAGGAUAUGCGUGAGUUGAACCUAGAGAGGUCGACAUUGUAGGGUAUAUGAGUAACCCUUGAGAGUUGAAAGGUGGAUUUCGGAAUCCCUAGGAAUUGAGGUUGCGAGUACAUGUGGUUCUCCUUGCUCGGCAGCAGUUGAGUCUUGCGACUAAGCGCAAGUGAAUCAUAACUGCGGGUAUGUGUGGUUCUCCUCGCCCGAUAGUGAUUCAACGGGUAUGUAUGGUUCUUUUCACCCGGUAUGAGAUUGUUGAGACGGGUAUGUGUGGUUCUCCUCGCCUGUUGAGCUUGAGUGACUUGUGGUAUGGGGUUCGAUAGUAUCUCCUCACCCUGUGGAAGACCUAUAGUCGAGUGGAUUUAAGGCUGAGGUGCAUGUGAGACGUCCUUCACUUCGAGCCUGACUGAGCGCGGUAUUCCGCAGAUGAUUGAUGCAAAACCGAGUCGGGUGGCAUAGUUAGCUAAGAUAAAGGAAACCUUAGGUGAAAGGCAAGUGAUAGAGAAUGGCCAAUGAUAUACAGUGGUAAAUGGAUGAGUUGUGGAUAGUGAGAUAGAAAGUAGAAUCAGUAAAUCUACUUGCAUGAAUCGCAUACUGCAUGUUGUGAGGCAUACGUAUGUAUUUAAUACUUGCAUAAAUUAUAUGUGGAUAUAUGUUGGUCUAACAUGUUGAUUUGCCUCAUUUGAACCUGGUGGGUUGAGCUAUUCCCUUGGGUGGCCAUACCCAUUGAGAACUAUUUAUAUAGUUCUCACCCCACGUUUUUCAGGUACACACGCGAGCGGCGCGUCGGUGCGAGGAAAGGGCGUAGCUCCGUAGAUAGCCCUACCACUGUGACCAGAGAUAGCAGUAUUGUAAGGACUGAGAUUUGGCAGAGUAGCUAAACUCUCUGUUGAUGAUGUUUUUGUGUGUAUUUUAAUUACAAAAGUACUCGUCAAGUUUCAAGGAAAAACAAGUUUGAAUGGAGAAGUUACGCAACUUUUAGUUUUCACUUAAAUUGAAUAGUAACCUGGGUUUUCGGAGAGGCUAAAGUGUAAGAGUUGGCUUCUGGCGCGUAUCGGACUCUGUUCAUAACGAUCCAAUAGCUCGUUUUCAAUGGUUCGGCUAUUCUGGAACCAUUGGCGCUGACGGAUUUUAGGUUUGACGCACGAAUUUUGAGAAAUCUGGAAAUACGUAUUUAUAUGUAUUUGUGUGUAGUUUCGCCAGUUGGAGAGAGAGGAUAGAUUUUGUCGCAAAUCCGUGACCAAACGAGGCGAAACAAAAUCAUGACUUUGAUGUCUCUGUUGUCCUAAUCGCACUGGUGUGAUCCGUUCGCAAAUCCGACGGACGGAUCUCCGGAUAUCGCGCGUUGACCGAGAAGGGGCCUUGGAUGGCAAAAUGGUAAUUUUGCGAAAAGCGCGAACAUUUUAUGUACCGUUUUGCGUGAAAUUGAAUGUGGGGGUGUGUUCGCUCGUUUUACUCACGCUGUGAGGGACUCAGUGUUAAAUACUGAAGUUUGGUGGGCUAACUCGCAACUUUACACCUUCUUUAUAUAUAGCUUACCUAAGGCUUGCCCCAUGCAAACCCAAACUAGCCCCAGCUGACCCCCUAGCCGCUUCUCUUCCCCUCACCUCGUGUGCCGCGCGCCUCCCGGUCGCCGUCGAUCGAGCCCCGGCCGGCCAGCCAUAGCCAUUGCCAUCUUCCCUUUCCAUCUCUCUCUCUCUCUCUCUCUCUCUCUCUCUCUCUCUCUUCCCUUUUCACUCGAGUUGAGAAGAGGUUCGAGGCUACAUUGCCUCCUCGCUCUCUCUACCGACGUCGCCCCGAUCUCCGGCGACUCCCCCGCCGGUCGCCGCCGCCCCUGCGGGCUGCCGCCGCCGCCUUGACAGAUUGCGACUGCCCCAGGUCUGCUCAGGCCGAGCAGACCUUGCAACUUCUUCCCCGCGCCGCCGCCGCCCUGGGCCACCCCUGGGGCAUCCUUCUUACCUUAGGUGGUCAGUCGCUGCCGCCCCGAGCCGCCUCGAGCACUGCCGCCGCACUGCAGCCGCCCUGCGGGUUCCAUGGGCAAGCUCGAUCCGAGCUGAGCUCGCACUCCUCCCCCGCGCCGCCGUCACUCAGAGCCACCCACGCAGCACCUCUCCGGCCUCAGGCGAUCCCCCGCCAUCCCCCUUGGGAACCCUGCCGGCCGCAGUGGCCGCCGCCGCUCCUGGACUCGAGCCCUAGCCCGUGCGGGCUCAGGUUGCUCCGCCGCCUGCCGGUGCGAUCCCUGGCCUCCCCACGUCGGCCGCACCCAUUGGCCGCCGGUGCACCCGCCGUCGAGCCGCCGCCAGCCGUACCCUAGCUCUUGCUGCUCCGAUAAGCUUAGUCUAGGGCUUUUGAUUAUUGUUCUGGGUUGCGCACACUUUUCCGGCGAUCUGAGGCUGUCUCGAUGCCUCCGGAGGUGAGCACGGUGAUCAUUCGUCAGUGUUGAUCACAGUGCUCACCUCACUUUGGAUCAGAGGCUUCCAAAAUUGCGUUUUCGGCGCGGUUUUCCCCGAGUGCGCGCUGUUCGCUGAAUAUUUCGGUUGCUCCCGCACCUCCCACGGUGAGCCGUUGUGCUCCGGAUCAUGAGCACGCCCUCCGGUACAUCGAGACCUGUCAGUACGUGUCUCGGCGGAUCUCGGAAGUCCUUGGUUUGCGUUAACGAGCCACAAAGUCACCUUAUUUACAUAAAAUAGUGGAAUUUUAUGUAAAUAGAGGGACUUUUAUGCAAUUUUACAUCAUGUGGCUACUGUAGGCUAUAUGUCUGUGAGGUAGUUGACCUCUGGACUGAUCGUCCAAGGCCCGUUCGCCUUUGUGGAAAUCAGAGGUCGAGUUCGGUGCGUUUUUCUACAAAAUUCGCCGACGGAAUGCGGUUUCGGUUCGGAUUUCAUCCGACAGUAUUUGAUUGCUCUGAGAGUUGUCGCUGAGCUUUGUCGGCUAGUCACCAUCGUCAUAUCGUGGAUUCAGAGAUGACGGGUGAGCGACGGUGGGUUCCGGUGUCGAAAUUGACACUUCCGAGAACCCGGAUCCGAACAAUUAUCUGACGAUAAUUGUUUGUUUGUGUUACCUUGUGUUUGCUGCCAAGACAUCCAAAUAGAUGUGUUUUGUGGCAGCGGGUGACUCGUGGCACGAGUCUCUGAGUUUCGGAACACUUAGUAGGUCCCGACGGCGUCCUGGUGUGAUUUUCGGGACUUCCGGCGAGUUACGGUGAUCGAUUUUGGGAAACCGAUUUUGGGGGACUUGUGUGCGGUUUGUAAGUUGUGUACUUUGGGUUUGUGGGUUGGAUACUGACCCGGUGGAUCUUCGUAGGUCCGAUUGACUGUUGCGCACCCAGUUUUACGACGCGAUAGUGACAGGUGGGUGCUGCGAGCUGGUAGUCGGUGAGAUCGUUUUACUUUUCUCUGUUAUUUCAUAUCAGUAUUGUAGUUUCUACAUGUCGGUUGCUUUUGCUUAUCGUUCGUUCAUCUAUACUUGUUGUUUGCAUGAUGAUAGUCGUUGUUAGACAUGUAGAGCAGGCUUGCAUAUGUUGUAUAUUUGUGGACCUUGGGUCCAGGUAACACAUCGACUCCUUUGUCAUGUGUUUCGAUCUAGUUGAUCGUGGUUCGACGUUGUACGCCCUUGUAUCUGGCUUCUGCCAAGGUACCGGUCUUAUUGCCGAUUUUUGUAUUAAGCAUAUCAGCAUGAUUUAGUCACAACACUGUGUAUUCUAGACUGGUUGGUUUGGCCACCAACCAAGGGGUGUACGUAUCCGGAUAGGUCGUCGGUGGACGCAUGAAUAAAUGUUAGUGUAUGCUUUGUGACAGGCUAGGCUUGAGAUCUGCGGAUCAAUAUGGCAGCACCAGAUUGGAUUUGAUUUUGGAUUAUAUACCCUUGAGGCAUUUGUUUCAGUUGAGUUGUUGAUACAGUAGUAGUUGGUUCUUACUCAUUUACUAUCAUGUUUCUAGUACUACUGUAGUUGCUCUUUUAUCAUACCAUAUACAUACCUAUUGUUCUAUCUUCUUUGUUUUUCAGUGAAUACGAUUUGCCUUCGUGGCUCUGUUGUACCCACUGAGAAACUUUGAUUGUUGUUUCUCACCCCCCAUUUCCCCAGGUGACUCGGGCAAGGAGUUAGCUUUUGGACCGAUGGGAGGACGUUCUAGCUAGCCUGCAGUAGCGACCGUCACCCGGGUUACUUUUAUUUCCGCUUCUAGUAAUUUAAAUAAUUAAAUGAUUCAGUAAGAUGAUCCCUAUGAAUGUUUGAAUAUUCGUGAACUGGUUUUAGUUGAUGUUUUCAUUAUAUAUGCGAUUGGAGAUUUUGGAUAAUUGGUUUCGGAUUUAUGUAUUUAUACAUGGUGGUUUUCUACUCCUCGAGUUAGUCAGUUUUCAAAAUAGAGUUUCUGUGUGGGAAACAGUUUUAAAAGAUUUUCGAAUGGUUUUAUGGAUGCUUAAUUAGAGUUUAAAAAUCAAAGCUUCUGGGUGGGGAGCACUUUUAAAUAGGAUGCUUUUUGUACUGUGCAUUGCAUCAUCCAGUGCUUAAGGAGUGUUUAGAGGCAUGCAUCAUCUCUAAGGAUCGCUAGCUGUAUGAAAAUGCAUCACAUAAAUUGUUUGUGGAUUGGUGAAUGUAGAAUGUGGUUGUGAUCCUGAUGUAACUGUUGGUACGCCAUGCAAAUACAAAGGAGACUCUGUCCGAGUGGACAGAGGAACUUUGUAUUUGUGGCGUGUCUGUACGUCAUGUGGGCCAGGUUGAAUUAAAAAAAAAAAGGCACGUUUUUUUGCAACUCUGAUUUUAAAAAUUGUAUCCAUUACAAAAAGAUUUUUAAAUCGGCCCCGGGGCCUGACAAGUACCCCGAGUUGGUCUAGCUUAGAGGUGUGGAAAUGAAAACAAGAACCAAAUUGUUAUAAUUUGUAAUAGUUGGUUGUAUUCGGAAGGAAAAAGAAUCAAAAAUGUAAAUUGAAUGUAAAAUAAGCUGAAUGCUUGUAAUAGUUAGUACUUUAUGUUUUCGGUACUUUUUCUUAUGCAUUCAGUAUGUGAAAUUUGUUCCUGUUUCGAACCUCUUGACUUGUACUAUUGCGACGUCUUAGAUGUACAGGGAAAACUCUGUCCGUUCGGCGGUCUAUUGGCACGCUCAAAUCCGACCAAAGAGGCGGGUCUCGGGACGUGACACCAUCGGACCAACUUGUUAGGUCCAAAGGACCAAAAACCCCCUUACUAAGGUCUACACUUGCAGACCUUGGAUGGAUAGCUCUUGGGGAGAAGGGCCAAGCCUUUCUUCCCAGGAGCUCAGACCCCAAGCCCAAGGCAAUUUUGCCUUGGGGCUUGGGGUCUAGGCUGUGCUGGCCCAGUCGGCACGGCCCAAACGGGUCGUGACGUGUCGGGUCGCCAGCCUCUCCGCGGUCCAGCACGGUCAAGGCCCGUUACGAGCUGGGCUGUGCCUUGCCGGGCCGUCAGGUCGAAAAGUAUAGGCCCAACACGUCUCGAAACAUUGGGGCGAGCGGACCUAGCACAGGUGCUACAGUACCGAUGCUGUGCUGCAACCCGGCCCUAGACCGUGCCGCUUGGCCUAUUUUACAUUUCUAGAUACACUUCUUUAUAAAAAGACGAACUCCUUUGUGAAAGAAUGUCUUUCCAAUAUUUGUGAAAAGAUGUCUUUUCAUUAUUCUUGAAAAAAUGUGUCUUUUUGUGAAAAUAUAUAGCAUUAAAAGUUGUAUUCUUUCAUCGUAAUCAUUCAUUUUCUAAAAAUAGAAGAUGUUUGAAGGCUUCAAGUGUAACAUAGCUAAUCUUUUCUCUUUCUUAAUUUUUUGCAUUGAUUUUUAAGAGUGAAGUUCUUAAGAGAAAGUCUUCAAAAGUAUUAUUUACAGUCUUUCAGUGGUCUUGUUGUAAUUUGGAGUUGAUUUGCUAUUAACCCGACAACAUAUAUUCAAGUGGGGGCAAAUAUCAUCUAAAGAAAGUGUUCUACAUGUCUCAAGACCUUAAUUUACUUGAUCUCUAUAUUUAUAUUUCCCAAUGAUUUUUAAGGUGAUAUUUUUAGUGGAGACAAAUACUAAGGCGGCAUUCAAGAUGAUAAAUCAAUAUUCCAUGAAACUGAACCAAUUCGAUAGGACCAACUUCACUCGAUGGAAAGAUAAGAUGAAGUUCUUACUUAUUGCACUGAAGAUAGCCUACAUCAUCAACCCUAAUUUGCUAGAUUUUCUCGCACCUGCGGCAACAGAUACUGAUGAAGUGAGGGCAACACAUAAGAAGCACGAGGAGGAUGAACUAUUAUGCAAUAGGACACAUUCUCAAUACCAUGUCAGAUAAUUUAUGUGAUUUACUUGCAUCAAUCCAAUCACCAAGAGAGAUCUAGAAUUCUCCAGAAGCAAGAUACAAUAUUGAGAAGCAAAGGCACAAAUAAGUUUUUAAUUAUGAAGUAUUUUGAAUUUAUUAUGGUUAAUAGCUUCCAGCCCACUAUUGAAGAGGGUAUGUUGCUGUCGAUAAUUCAAACGUAGAAGACGUUUUAGCUGGUUGUCGAGGGCAUCUCCACCGAGCAUAUUGAUGAAAUUCAUAACAUUGAUCUUAUACACUCUGACAUAGAGUUGAUGUACAUCAGCGAGGAAGCAGUCGAUAGUGCAAACACGAACAUAGAUGAGGAAGUAGAUGUGCUAGAGGACGAGGGUGUGGUAGGGGGUGUGCGGAGGAGUUGAUUUACAUUUGGGUUUUUUUUUUCCAUUUUUGAAGCAUAUUUAAAUAUUUAUGUUAAUUUAUAUACUAUAUUCUUUUUUGUUAUAUUAUUUUUACUUGUGCUUAUAGGCAAUUAAAGUUGGAUUAGUUAAAUUUAAGUACGUAUUAUUGCAGUAGUAAUGCUUGAAAAAAUACUACAAUUAUAUGCUUACUGGGUAUUAGGAAAAAAAGGAAAUGGAAGUAGGAAAAAUCAAGAGAGAACGCGGUGAAUAGUUUAUCGCUUCAUGAAAGUGUUGAAUUAUUUAUUAUCUUUAUAUGCGGUGAACCAUUCAGUGCUUAUAAGUUUUUCUCCUCACUCUAGGACUUGCAUUCGCCUCAUUCAUGAGAGUACUAUAAUCUAAAAUGGAAGUGGUGAACCAUUUAUCAUUUUCAAUAAGCGGUGAACACUUUACCGCCUUUUUAUUUGACAUCUCACCCAAUCUUCUCAACUAAGUCUAGAUUUGGAAAUAAAAUUUUAACAAGCCUAAACUUGCAUUUACAAAUUUCGAGAGGACUAGUUGAUUAAAAUUUCCAAUUUGAGUUGUUGGGAAUAAAUUGAAACAUAAUAUAAAGAUUAAGAACCUACGUGCAGAAGGAAAGAGUUAGGGAUAAGGAUUACGAGGGGUUAGGGUGGGAUAGGAGGCCCUUCCGUAUCCCCGCCCAAUAGAUUUUAGAAUCCUAAUUCUUGUCAUAUCCAUGCCAAUGAAAAAAAAAAAGUUCCCGAAUCACUGUCCCCAUGGGAAUCCUGUCACGCCCCGGAUUGCACGUUCCCAGGCACGCCGACAAAUCUGCCGUAUACAAAAGAACUUUCCCUAUAUACGAAGCGAUAGCUGUACCUGUAAAACAUACAAUACUACAAACAGUAGUAUAGAGCUGUUCGAAUAAAACUAGUAAAAAUAGGAACAAGUUCCAAAUACAUACAUACGUUCAGGUACUCAAAAGCUCGCCUAGCGAGAUACAGUAACGUAUGUAAAUGAACUCAAAAACCACACUACCUGAAGAGGGUAAUCCUCUAGCUCGGCGACUCGUCGGGUAGGGAUCUAGCUCACAACGCCCUUGCCACGAUCUGCCUUAGAAGAUGCAGCAGCCGGAACCGAAUGCUCUGCAAAAAUAGGGUAACAACUGGGCGUGAAAACUACUAUAAAAAUAAGUAAUCCUCAGUGGGUACCGCCCUAAACAUCGUCGGUCUACCCACUAAGUCUACAGAAGGGAGAAAGGGUAGUAUGCAAUGCUGGACGAAACUCUACAGCUACAAGACACUACACUAUCAUGGUCUACACUAACCAACUGUAGGAAGUGACAGUCCUGACCCAAUCGAACUGGGACUGUAAGCCUACCCGUCCCUGGGACUGUGAACAUAUCUGUCCUGCCCUGCGACUAUACAGCUACCUCCACUCUAAGCAAUCCGUGGAGAGCAAGUCCAACCUGCACGAACGAUACCAACGUGAAAGCACAACGCCCGUCUUCGGAGUGGCACUCGUGGGAGCUACCCAACCGAGUAUGCAGCGUAUUUUUGUCGAGCUCAAUCAGACUCUCACAAGCCAAAGUCAAGUAACAGGGUCCAACUGGUCUAACAACCAACAGGUCACGUGCCCUCAACACAAUCUGAUGCCCAAAACGGCGAUAUGGGUCCACCGUCAACCCCGACGGCACCCAACAGUCCAGAACAGUCUGAACGCUACUGUAAAAAUACACUCGGCAUUCCAGCACGAGCGUAACAGCUAAUCUAAACUACCUGGGGUAUCCACCACACUGAUACUGUGGUGAUACAAAAUAACAACGGCUCCUAGACAUAAAUCAGGUAGUUUAAGCAUGUGACAGGUUCAAAUCGCAGGUUUCCUCCUAAGUU